GUCACCCGUAUGCAAAUGAGCGCCAUGGGGGAGCGGGGGCCCGGCGCGCGGCCGGGCUCAGUCUCGCGCCGCGGAGCGCGCGCGCGCCCCCCCCCUCCCUUCCCCUCUUUCCCUUUUUCCCUUUUCCCGCCUCCUUCCCUCAUUUUUUCCCCCCCCUUUCAUCCCAUGGACAUGGCACGGCCACCUUAAAAACGCCGCGCCGCCCCCUCCUCCCCCGAUCGCCGGGGCCGCUAUGAGUCAGGUGUGAAGCCCCCGCCGGGAGGAGGUCGUUCCCCUCGCUGGCUGCAGCUCUGACGCUGGGAUUUUCCUUUUUUUGGCUUUUUUUUUUUUUUUUUUGUCGGCCCCACCACCUCCCUCCUUCCCUCCCUCGCUCCCUCCCUCCAGGAAUCCAGCGCUGCACCGAAGCCAGAAGAGAGGGAGCAAAACCCAGCCCAGGCCGAGAGCUGCGUCCAGAAACCAAACCCGCCCUUCGCGUCGCAGAGGAGAUUUUUUUUUUUUUAAAUCAUCAUCAUCAUUAUUAUUAUUAUUUUUAUUUUUAACACCCCUGACCCGAGCACGGUGGCGGCAGCGGCGCCGGGGCAGGGAGGCUGUCCCGGUUAUUUAUUCUCUCCCCGCAGAGCUGUCCCUCCGGCUCACCAUGAUGUUCCGAGACCAGGUUGGCGUGCUGGCCGGGUGGUUCAAGGGCUGGAACGAGUGCGAGCAGACUGUUGCGCUGCUCUCCCUGCUCAAACGCGUCAGCCGGACCCAGGCUCGCUUCCUCCAGCUCUGCCUCGAGCAUUCCCUGGCAGACUGCACCGAGCUCCACAUCCUCGAAGGGGAGGCCAACAACCCCGGCAUCAUUAACCAGUGGCAACAGGAAUCCAAGGACAAAGUGAUCUCCUUGUUGUUAACCCACCUGCCUUUACUGAAACCCGGCAACAUCGAGGCGAAAGUCGAGUACAUGAAACUCUUGCCCAAAAUCCUGGCGCACUCCAUCGAGCACAACCAGCACAUCGAGGAGAGCAGGCAGCUGCUGUCCUAUGCCUUGAUCCACCCUGCCACCUCCCUGGAGGACAGGAGCGCCCUGGCCAUGUGGCUCAACCACCUGGAGGACCGCACCUCGGGGGGUUUCGGCGGGCAGGGCCGCGGCCGCUCCGACUCGCUGGACUACGGGCAGGCUCACUACUAUCACCAAAGACAGAACUCCGACGACAAACUCAACGGGUGGCAGAACUCUCGGGACUCCGGCAUCAGCGUCAGCGCUUCCAGCUGGCAGGAUAAAAACAUGGCCUGCGAGAACGGCCACCUGCCCCUCUACUCCUCCUCCUCCGUCCCCACCACCAUCAACACCAUCGGCACUAGCACAAGCACCAUUCUCUCAGGCCAGACACACCACAGCCCUUUGAAACGCUCUGUGUCCCUUACCCCACCCAUGAAUGUGCCAAACCAACCUCUAGGACAUGGAUGGAUGUCUCAUGAGGACUUACGAGCUAGAGGACCCCAGUGCAUCCCUUCCGAUCAUGCCCCCCUGUCUCCACAAAGCAGUGUAGCCUCUUCGGGAAGUGGUGGGAGUGAACAUUUAGAAGAUCAGCCUUCUGCUCGUAACACAUUCCAGGAGGAAGGGAGUGGGAUGAAAGAUGUCCCAGCCUGGCUGAAGAGCCUCCGGCUGCACAAGUACGCCGCCCUCUUCUCCCAGAUGACGUACGAGGAGAUGAUGGCCCUCACCGAAUGCCAGCUCGAGGCACAAAACGUUACCAAAGGUGCGAGACACAAAAUAGUCAUCAGUAUCCAAAAGCUAAAAGAAAGACAAAACCUGCUCAAAUCUCUAGAAGGGGACAUCCUGGAAGGCGGCAACUUGCGUGUCCCGCUGCAGGAGCUACACCAAAUGAUCCUCACCCCCAUCAAAGCCUACUCUUCCCAAAACUCGAGCCCGGAGGAGCACAGCCGGGACGUGGACUCGCACCACCCCUCCUCCCUGCUGGGCUCGGACAGCCAAGGCUCGGACUGCAAGGACUCCGCGGCGGCCGGGAUGCAGCAGCAGCAUCUGCCGGGAUGCGAGGGCGAGUCGGGAGGGGCCCCUUUGCCCGAGGGGGACCUGCCCGGGCAGUUCACCCGCGUGAUGGGGAAAGUCUGCACACAACUUUUAGUUUCCCGACCCGAUGAAGAGAAUAUAAGUUCCUAUUUACAGCUCAUAGACAAAUGUCUAAUCCACGAGGCGUUUACAGAGAUCCAGAAGAAGCGGCUGCUGUCAUGGAAACAGCAGGUGCAGAAACUCUUUCGGUCCUUCCCUCGGAAAUCCCUCCUGGAGCUGUCAGGCUAUCGGCAGCAGAGGAGCCGAGGCUUUGGCCAGUCCAACUCCCUCCCGACAGCCGGAUCCGCGGGGGCAGGGCUGGCACGGAGGAACCCCCGGCAGUUCCAGAUCCCCUCCCGAAACCUCCCCACGGCCCGGCUGGGGCUGCUGGGCCCCACGGGGCUGCUGGGCACCCCCCAGCGCAGCCCUGCCGCCAGCCCCGCCAUCCUCAAGCAAGGCAGACAGAACCUGUGGUUUGCCAACCCUGGGGGCAGUAACAGCAUGCCCAGCCGGAGCCACAGCUCGGUGCAGAGGACGCGCUCGCUGCCGGUCCACACGUCCCCGCAGACCAUGCUGAUGUUUCAGCAGCCAGAGUUCCAGGUGCCGGUGACUGAACCUGACAUCAACAACAGGCUGGAGUCCCUGUGCCUGAGCAUGACGGAGCACGCACUCAGCGGUGAGCAUUCCCUCCUCCUGGGGCUCUUCCAGCACGUCCACGCCGCCUCUGCUGAGCCCCCCAGCACCUGCCCCGUGCCCCCCAAAAGCUGGGACAGGCUGUGGCUGUGAGAGCGGGGCCGGAUGCCGGGAUGCUCCCGGGGCUGCUCGGACGGGAAUGUCGGCUUCUCUCGGCGAGGUGGCCGGGCAGGGGGCAAAGCCGAACGCAGGGAUCGCACCAGCACCAGCAGAGUCUGUGCUAAUUAGCCACUCUUCAGCUUGCUAAUGGUAAUUAGUGUUAGCUCGCUACUCUCGUUAGCUCUCGAUGAAGCCCCUGGGUCACAGGCUUCGGAGCGUUGUGCCCUUCACCACCGGAUCCCUGGUUUGGCCGGGGGUGCCCCACAGCUGGGGGCUAAAUCCCUGCCAGGCGCUGUGCCAGGGGCUGCGCUGGGCACCGUGCCCUGGUGCUGGCAGUCCUCACACAGCCGGGGGUGCCAGCGGAUAACGGGCACGGGGAGGGAGGAGGACCGGGGCAAAAACAAGCAGGGAAGAUGGAAAAGGCAGCAGCAGCAGCAGCAGAGCAGUGGAGAGCCCAGUGCAGCACAAAGCACCGGCACCAGGAGCUCCUGGUGUCCCUUGCGACGCUCCGGACCCCCAGGCACAAGGGAUGGCCCCGGCGAUGGGAUGAGCGCGGCAUCGCCCCGAGUCCCCGGGGACCAGCUCGGGUCUCGCUGCGGAAAUCCUGGACUGUGACCGAUGGCUGAGCACGGAGCCCUCGGACAGGACCGGUGCCACCAGGCUCCCUGCAGAUGCAACAGCCUUCCCGGGGAGAGGAACAGGAGAACAAGGACUGUGGGAAGCAGCAGGGCCCUGGCAGCAUCCCUGGCUGGGAAAACAAGGACACUUCUGUCACCCGAAGCGUUUCUCCGGCGUGUGCCCAGCCGAGGCUUAGCUGUCUUGUUCCUCUGCAGGAUGGUGUCGACAGAACCUCCACGAUCUAGAAGGCGUCGCCAGGGGGACGCUGGCCGGGACAACAACUGCUGCGGGUCCAGCGGCGAGGUCGGGGCUGAGGGAGCCUCAGUGAUAGCUUGCAUCCUUUCUCCUCUCUCCUCUCCUCUCUCUCUCUCUAUAUCUCUCCUGUUUUAAUUUUGUGAAUGUGUAGAUUGUCCUUGUGAACAUAUCAUUAGACUUGGAAUUUGUGUUGUCAUUUAUUACAUCCAUGCUAAGGGGGGGGGAAAAGAUGGCAAAAAAAAAAAAAAAUAAUAAAUCUCAGCGAUGAUGGUGAAGCAGCAUGGGGAGGUUGGGGUGGACAUGGAGGAGGAGAGUGCUGACAACAGAGGGUUCACCGUGGGCAAACCCUGCUCCUGGAGGAGGAUACCAAGGAGCACGGAACACCACGUGGGGUGUGUGACCAAAAACCCUUUGGGGAGGAUUCUCCUGCCCUGCCGGGGGCUUCGGGGAUGGCAGUUCUGACUCUGGAGUUCGGCUGCUUUCGGGUGCGGGCUGACCCGGCGAGCCCAGACUGAAACAGAAAUAAUAAAAUAACCCCAAAAUUCCCUUUCAGUUUAGCCAAGAGAUCUGCAGUGUGGGGGCAGCAUUGUGCUCAGGGCAGUGGAGGGUCGGGGGUGCCCAUCCCUGCACCUCGCCCAGAGGAGGGGCCCCCUGCGAACUGGGGGACACUGGGAGAGUUUCCUGCAUCCUGGCUCCACACAUCUCCCCCAGCCUGCCCAAAUCCAGCUGUAAGGGGUUUUUCCUUUCCCCCAAAUAAAUCCCAAGUCACAAAGGGCACCAAAAUGCAGCUUCCCAGCCUUGUUUUCUUGGCAUUAACCGUGGGGCUGGCAGUGGCUGGGCUGCCCCUCACCCACUGCUGCUUUUUAUAACGGGAGCUAAAUUUGGUGUUAAAUUGAUAAAUCUGACCUGGCACUGCUCUGAGCUGCAGUGAUGCUCCCGCCGGUCCUGAUGCUGCUCUGAGUCCUCUGAUGGAAUAACGACAAAUAUAAAAUCAAUUAAUUUAGCUGAUGGGUAGCAACAAUAUUUCAAGAAUGGGCUGUGAGGACCUGGGCAGCAUCAGGGGGAGCAGGGCUCGGGGCUCAGGGGUAGCCAGAGCAUGGGCAGGGCUGGGAGAUGUGUGAAUCCUUUUGUCAUGCGACGUUUUUAAGUUGUUUUUCUAAAAAAAAAAAAAGAAAUAUAUAUAUAUAUAUAUAUACACACAUAUAUGUAUACAAAAACCCAAGUGCCAAAUGCAAUGUUUUAUGUUUGCUGUUCCUUGGUGUCCUGCUUCCCGGCAGACAGGAGGUUGAGGGGGGUGAUGGGGAGGGUGGAGAAGGGAAAACCUGAAGGCCAGGGAGGUUGGGAGAGGUGUGAGGAGGUGAAGGCGAAGCGGGGUCGGCGCUGGGGUCACCCCCGAGCACCCCCAGCCUGUGAGGUGUGAGCGGAGCCGCCGUAGCAGGAGCCUCCCUCAGGGAGACUCCAGUGUAUUUACAGAGCUGAAAUUCUAUUUAUUCCUUCGCUGACUAUGGACACGGAGGUUUUCUGAUUGUUCAGAGAGAUUAUUUUGGAUAUUUUACCUAUUAACUUGCUGUGGCUGGGAACCAUGAUAAUGUCUGUUAUUAACAACCACCAAAUAAUUCAAUUGUUUUAUCCUUUUGAUGUUAAAAGAAGAAAGAAAAAAAAGCUUAUUUUCCAUUGACAGUGUAGAGGUUAAUAACGACUUAGUUGUGUUUGCUGUUUCUUGUUUUGUUUUUUGAGUAAAAACAACAAAAAAGUGGCUUCAGUUGUGUUCGGGAAGUGCUGCCUGGCUCUGGCUGCCGGUGCUAAGUGCAGGUGGCAGAGCUCCAGGGAAAGAAGCUUAAAAGGGGGAGGGGGGGAGAAAAAGCUUGAAUCCUAAAAGAAAUAAAAAUUAUUUAUAGAAAGCAAAGAAAAAAAGAAAACAAAAAAUCCUCCGACAGUUGCAUCAGUGAGGCUGCGAAGUCAAAUAUUCAAUAAUAAAGCGGCAGUGCCUUUCUUUUUGUAUCCCCCGCUCGCCCCACUGCAACUGUCCCCUCCCUGUCCUGGCUGAGAUGUCACCCCAGCGGGGUCCUGGGGGUCGGGUGGGCAAUCCCCCCAUCCCACUGCUCGCCCAGCUCCAGCCUGGGCCCCCCAGGACCUUUUCCUGGUGCUGUUCCCCCGGGGAGCCCAACGCUCAAAGCGGCCUCGGGCGUGGAAGUGACACCACGGGGACACAACCCCGUGUCCCUUCAGCGUUGUCCCCAUCCCCAGGGACACCCCGAGCUCGGGUGGGUUGAGCUCAGCUCAGCAAAACCCUCCAAAAGGGUUUAGGGUGGCCGAGGCAGGGCAGAUCCAGCAGGAAAAUCCCAAACGGUUGGGUCAGCACUUAGGGAAGCGAUUUCUGUUGUCACCUUUCUCCAUGUCGGGUUUGGCUUUCGGGAUGUGCCUGAUGGAAAAUGAGUCCCGCAGACGUCUAUAAUUUGCACACAGCGACGAUAACACUAAAGUUGAUUUUAUACGAGUCAUCAGAGUUUGCAAAAGUGAGUUUUAUUUUUUGUAUUCCUUUUAUCUUUACUUAAAGGUGAAUGUGUAUUCCUCUGGGAGGAAUAGGAAGAAAAAAAAAAAAAGAAAAAUACAUAAAAAAACAGGAAUGUUAAUAAUGUUAAACAGAAUACUUCCUCCCUUAUUAAUAUAUAUAACCCUGAUGUAUUUAUGCCUAUUGUAAGCUGACUUUAAAGAGCUUUGACCUCUCUUCUGUUGCAUGCCGUUCCUGGGCAGCCUCUCCUUGUCCAUGCAUGCCUUUUGUCCUGGUUUUUCUGUACAAAGUUAGUGCACAAAAGAACUAUUUUUGCCUAGUUAAUGUUGCCGAGCAAUGCCUAUUUUUUAAAUUUUAAUUUCUUUUUUUUUUUAAUUUUAAUUUUUUUGGUCAUAUAUGGCAAUAGCAUGUUUGUUACAUGUAAAAGCUUCCCGAUAUAAAGAAAUACUAAUGUUUGGAGAUGCCAGUCUUUGCAAGUGUACAGUUUUCCAAUGUUGUUCCCAGUGAAACACCCUUGUGAUUUCCACUUGCUCCGAUGUAUUUAUUACUCAUUUCCUCCCGUGUAACUAGGAACCAUGGCUAUAUUUCAUAUCUGCGCUAUAUUGAAAGUGAAGGGAGAUGAUUAAUACAAGGUUUUGUAACA